rnacentral:rRNA from 1 species
UGGGGAAUAUUGCACAAUGGGCGAAAGCCUGAUGCAGCGACGCCGCGUGAGGGAUGACGGCCUUCGGGUUGUAAACCUCUUUCAGCAGGGAAGAAGCGAAAGUGACGGUACCUGCAGAAGAAGCGCCGGCUAACUACGUGCCAGCAGCCGCGGUAAUACGUAGGGCGCAAGCGUUGUCCGGAAUUAUUGGGCGUAAAGAGCUCGUAGGCGGUUAGUCGCGUCUGCUGUGAAAACUCGAGGCUCAACCUCGGGCUUGCAGUGGGUACGGGCUGACUAGAGUGCGGUAGGGGUGACUGGAAUUCCUGGUGUAGCGGUGGAAUGCGCAGAUAUCAGGAGGAACACCGAUGGCGAAGGCAGGUCACUGGGCCGCAACUGACGCUGAGGAGCGAAAGCAUGGGGAGCGAACAGGAUUAGAUAGCCCCUGGUAGUCCAUGCCGUAAACGUUGGGCACUAGGUGUGGGGUCCAUUUCCACGGAUUCCGUGCCGCAGCAAACGCAUUAAGUGCCCCGCCUGGGGAGUACGGCCGCAAGGCUAAAACUCAAAGGAAUUGA